rnacentral:rRNA from 1 species
UACGGAGGGUGCAAGCGUUAUCCGGAUUCACUGGGUUUAAAGGGUGCGUAGGUGGGCUUGUAAGUCAGUGGUGAAAUCUCCGUGCUUAACAUGGAAACUGCCAUUGAUACUAUGGGUCUUGAAUUACCUGGAGGUUAGCGGAAUAUGUCAUGUAGCGGUGAAAUGCUUAGAUAUGACAUAGAACACCAAUUGCGAAGGCAGCUGGCUACAGGUACAUUGACACUGAGGCACGAAAGCGUGGGGAUCAAACAGG